rnacentral:rRNA from 1 species
UACAGAGGGUGCGAGCGUUAAUCGGAAUUACUGGGCGUAAAGCGUGCGUAGACGGUUAUUUAAGUCGGAUGUGAAAGCCCCGGGCUCAACCUGGGAAUUGCAUUCGAGACUGAAUAGCUAGGGUGCGGUAGAGGGAAGCGGAAUUUCCGGUGUAGCGGUGAAAUGCGUAGAUAUCGGAAGGAACAUCAGUGGCGAAAGCGGCUUCCUGGACCAGCACCGACGUUCAGGUACGAAAGCGUGGGGAGCAAACAGG